rnacentral:lncRNA from 1 species
AUGUCUCACAAUGGAAUGUCGUCUAAUGUAACAGUUGUCUUGACCUUGGUGCACUUCGUGUGUCCAGGUAGAGUUGAUGUUCUCAUAAUGAGGGAAUUGUCCAAGUUCAUCGGAAGGUAUCCUGCCACGAGUUCUAUCCUUUUGACUUGUAGCCUGUGUUUCGCAGGUUACUGUCAAGAAAGCAAGAUGAACAGAAGGGUUCAUAAAGGGGGUCCUUCCUGGUGUGCACGCGAGAGAUGGUGCUCACCGUCCCCUCAUCAGAGCAUCUUGCAUUCACAUCUCUGGGUUCCAGGAAGAUACCAUCAUAAAGAUCAUCAUGACCAAGACUUUGCUUGUGUCUAAGUAAGUGAUGCUGUGGGCCUUCGCACCUAUGCGCAGUCUGAUCAACAGAUGUGUGGGUAAGCGUGGGUGGUUUCCUAGGUUUUAUGUACUGUGUUUUUUUGCAGGUAUUCAGUUAAGAAAUGAUGUUGUCCCAAUCAGUGACAUUCAGCCAUAGCCAUAUUGUCUUAAUGUAUACAUGUAAUGUGCCUUUACCCUUCAUGGUGACUAAGGUUGUGCACGUGGCUCUAGGUUAUCCUAGUGUGGACACCAAGGGAUUGACUUUGAGGUUCCUGCCAGUGCUCAGGGGUGCUAUGUUUCUGGCCGUGGAAUUGACACUGAAGAUCUGAAAGGCCCAGGUAGUAUUGAUGGUUCCCUUAAGGUCUUAAGUAACUAAGGUUAUUUGCUGGGUGUGUCUCAUUUGCAUUUGUUUGUUUGUUUUUUCCUCUUUCUUGUAAAGUGAAUUUUUCCCCUCCGUCUUUAAACACACUUGACCUGUAAGUUUUUAAAAGUCACAACUCUCUUGAGAACAAUGUGAACCUAACAGUGGUCGUGAACGAGACGUGGCUAAUAAGCAGGCUUGUGACAGAGUGGCUUUUAUCUUUUAUCGCAGGGCAGGUCACUUGACCUCAGACAUCUAGGUAAGUGAGGAUAGUCUUUUGCUUGUGUCCUGUUAAGUUCUUUGCUGGUAAACAGGUAUGUGAUGAUGUGCCAAUAACUGAGAGACAUUUUCAGUGUUGGUGGUUUAAAAAAAUGUUUUAUAUUUACCUUGUUUUUGUCAUUAUUAUUGUUAUAGAACGAAUUCUCUCUAAUAAUACUCAUAAUACUAAUAAGACUUUUGCAUUCUUCUUUAGUGAUAUCAUGCAUUUAACUACUAAUGAAAGACAGACAUGGAUGUAUUCGUGUUCGUGAUCCUGUUGAGCAUCACAGCAGUGUUGGCUCAGGGACUCUUGCAGGGAACCCUUCGGAGAAGAAGGGAUCUCUUCCUAGGGUUUGACCUCCGUGUCUGCAAGCAGGUCCCCAG